CCGCCAACAACACGCCUCCCCGGGAGCAC
rnacentral:sRNA from 1 species